AAAACGCAUUCAACCUCCAACUUCAAUUACUUGAGCCUUCAGUCGAUUCUCUUCUUUCGCUCCCUCUCUUUUUCUCCUUAAAUCUUCAGUGUAUUAACUCUUAACUUGAUUCUCUUCAAUUUCUUCACUCUUCUGCUUGAAUCGCAUCAUUGAAUCUUCAGUUUCUUCACGAUGUCCGAUUCUUUCUUGAGAGAUUGACUGUAGUUAUAGCCAGUCUUGUAAAGGAGUUUCUCUCUCAGCUGCUUCAGGGCUUGCAACAUGUCUACUGGUCCUGGUCUUGAGUCUCUUGUAGAUCAAACAAUUUC
rnacentral:misc_RNA from 1 species